CCGCCGGCGACCGGCGCACGGGUGAGUAACACGUAUGCAACCUGGCCGUGACAGAUGGAUAACCGGGAGAAAUCCCGCCUAAUACAACAUAAUGCCGGGAGGGGACAUCCCCUGCCGGUCAAAGGGGGCGACCCCGGUCAUGGAUGGGCAUGCGGCGCAUUAGGUAGUUGGUGGGGCAACGGCCCACCAAGCCGACGAUGCGUAGGGGUUCUGAGAGGAAGGUCCCCCACAUUGGAACUGAGACGCGGUCCAAACUCCUACGGAAGGCAGCAG
rnacentral:rRNA from 1 species